GAUGAAGAACGCAGCGAAAUGCGAUACUUGGUGUGAAUUGCAGAAUCCCGUGAACCAUCGAGUUUUUGAACGCAAGUUGCGCCCGAAGCCGUUAGGCCGAGGGCACGCCUGCCUGGGUGUCACACAUCGUUGCCCAAUGCCUAUUGCAGUGCAAUAGGAAUUUCUAGGGCGAAUGAUGGCUUCCCGUGAGCGUUGUUGCCUCGCGGUUGGUUGAAAAUCGAGUCCUUGGUAGGGUGUGCCAUGGUAGAUGGUGGUCGAGUUAGAACGAUACCGAUCAUGUGCAUGCUCCCCAAAAUAUGGCCUCUAUGACCCACACGCGUCUUUUGACGCUCAUGACGAGACCUCAGGUCAGGCGGGGCUACCCGCUGAAUUUAAGCAUAUCAAUAAGCGGAGGA
rnacentral:misc_RNA from 1 species